rnacentral:rRNA from 1 species
UACGAACGCUGGCGGCGUGCCUAACACAUGCAAGUCGAACGGAGCAGAUCCCUUCGGGGGUUUGCUUAGUGGCGAACGGGUGAGUAACGCGUGAGGAACCUCCCUUUCAGUGGGGGACAACAGUUGGGAACGACUGCUAAUACCGCAUAACACUUCCGAAAGGCAUCUUUUGGAAGUCAAAGAUUUAUUGCUGAAGGAUGGGCUCAUGUCUGAUUAGCUAGUUGGUGAGGUAACGGCUCACCAAGGCGACGAUCAGUAGCCGGUCUGAGAGGAUGAACGGCCACAUUGGGACUGAGAUACGGCCCAG